GGUAGUGGCUCAGUGGUUAGAGCGCUUAUCUAGCACGUGUGAGGCCCUGGGUUCGAUCCUCAGCACCA
rnacentral:tRNA from 1 species